CAUGCAAGUCGAACGAGAGAGAAGGAGCUUGCUUCUUCGAUCGAGUGGCGAACGGGUGAGUAACGCGUGAGGAACCUGCCUCAAAGAGGGGGACAACAGUUGGAAACGACUGCUAAUACCGCAUAAGCCCACGGGUCGGCAUCGACCUGAGGGAAAAGGAGCAAUCCGCUUUGAGAUGGCCUCGCGUCCGAUUAGCUAGUUGGUGAGGUAACGGCCCACCAAGGCGACGAUCGGUAGCCGGACUGAGAGGUUGAACGGCCACAUUGGGACUGAGACACGGCCCAGACUCCUACGGGAGGCAGCAGUGGGGAAUAUUGCACAAUGGGGGAAACCCUGAUGCAGCGACGCCGCGUGGAGGAAGAAGGUCUUCGGAUUGUAAACUCCUGUUGUUGAGGAAGAUAAUGACGGUACUCAACAAGGAAGUGACGGCUAACUACGUGCCAGCAGCCGCGGUAAAACGUAGGUCACAAGCGUUGUCCGGAAUUACUGGGUGUAAAGGGAGCGCAGGCGGGAAGACAAGUUGGAAGUGAAAUCUAUGGGCUCAACCCAUAAACUGCUUUCAAAACUGUUUUUCUUGAGUAGUGCAGAGGUAGGCGGAAUUCCCGGUGUAGCGGUGGAAUGCGUAGAUAUCGGGAGGAACACCAGUGGCGAAGGCGGCCUACUGGGCACCAACUGACGCUGAGGCUCGAAAGUGUGGGUAGCAAACAGGAUUAGAUACCCUGGUAGUCCACACCGUAAACGAUGAUUACUAGGUGUUGGAGGAUUGACCCCUUCAGUGCCGCAGUUAACACAAUAAGUAAUCCACCUGGGGAGUACGACCGCAAGGUUGAAACUCAAAGGAAUUGACGGGGG
rnacentral:rRNA from 1 species